AACGCUGGCGGCGUGCCUAAUACAUGCAAGUCGAGCGGAUCUUGUCCUUCGGGACAAGAUUAGCGGCGGACGGGUGAGUAACACGUAGGCAACCUGCCCUCAAGACUGGGAUAACCUCCGGAAACGGAUGCUAAUACCGGAUAUGCGGUUUCUCCUCCUGGAGAGAUCGGGAAAGACGGAGCAAUCUGUCGCUUGGGGAUGGGCCUGCGGCGCAUUAGCUAGUUGGUGAGGUAACGGCUCACCAAGGCGACGAUGCGUAGCCGACCUGAGAGGGUGAUCGGCCACACUGGGACUGAGACACGGCCCAGACUCCUACGGGAGGCAGCAGUAGGGAAUCUUCCGCAAUGGACGCAAGUCUGACGGAGCAACGCCGCGUGAGUG
rnacentral:rRNA from 1 species